rnacentral:rRNA from 1 species
UAAUUGAAGAGUUUGAUCAUGGCUCAGAUUGAACGCUGGCGGCAGGCCUAACACAUGCAAGUCGAGCGGUAACAGGGGAAGCUUGCUUCCCGCUGACGAGCGGCGGACGGGUGAGUAAUGUAUGGGGAUCUGCCCGAUAGAGGGGGAUAACUACUGGAAACGGUGGCUAAUACCGCAUAAUCUCUUAGGAGCAAAGCAGGGGACCUUAGGGCCUUGCGCUGUCGGAUGAACCCAUAUGGGAUUAGCUAGUAGGUAAGGUAAUGGCUUACCUAGGCGACGAUCCCUAGCUGGUCUGAGAGGAUGAUCAGCCACACUGGGACUGAGACACGGCCCAG